rnacentral:tRNA from 1 species
GACGCCUCGUACAACGCGGAUGUGGCGCGCCGCCUGCUGGGCGGCGAGACCGGCCCGGUGCGGGACGCGGUGCUGCUCAACUCGGCGGCGGCGCUG